UGUUAGGUUUUGUAAAAGGGGAAAAGUGAAAGCCCUCGGGAGGAAGGAGGCGCGGCGGAUCGAUUCUUCCGCCGACCCGGAUCCCGCGCACCUCCCGGCAGUGGUGGAAAAGAGAGAAAUGAAUGAGGAAGGAAUAAGAAAAGGCUCUGCCUCUUUAAGUUCCAUGGAAGUCACUUCAGCUGGAGGGAGACAUGCUUGAACAAUGGGAAGAGGUGCAACAACUAUGGCCUCUUCAGCACCAUGUACACUUUUGUGAUCAGAAUUAAGCAUCAGAGCACAGAUCCUGAUAUUUGGAAGACAGGAUCCUUUUGGCCCCUGGCUCCCACAAGCUGUGUGCAAGCUGCUCCAGGAAUGUGCACAGCUGUUGCCACAGGGCUGGUGGUGGAGGGUGGGUAGCUGCUACUGUGCUAAAAGCUGAAAUUAAGCAAAACUAACAGUGUAUGUCCCAGCCUUCCCCUGGAAGGUCCAAGCCUUCAAUAGUCUCCAGACUCCAAAAGAGUUAAUCAGACAUGUUCUGCUAGUACAAUUCUUAUCUUUCAGGGGAGACAAAUUCCUAGGCUUCCAUGUUCCUAAGAAACCUCCCCUAAAAUUGGGUGCUUCCUACUCUGUUACCUUCCCAAGUCCUCUUCUAAUGCUUUUAUGUUUUCACAUGUAUUUCUGUGGGCUAGGGAUUUAGCUCAGUGGUGCCGCUGCCUGCCUCGAAAGCGCAAGGUCCUGAGUUCGAUCCCAGGUACCAAAAAACAAACAAAAAAAUACAUGUAUAUCUGUGAUCCAUUUUGAGUUAAUUUUUAUAUAAAAUGUGAGAUGUAUAUUCAGGUUCAUAAUUUUUUGGUUGUGGAUGUUCAAUUCCAGCACUGUUUGUUGAAGUCUUUCAUUUCAUUUCUCCAUUAAAUUUUCUUCCUGUCUAAAAUUCAAAUGACCAUACUUGCAUAGACCUCUUUAUUCUGUUCUGUUGAUCUGUGUGUCUGUCCAUCCUUUCAACAAUACCAAUACUGUAACUAUAUAGUAAAUUUUAAACUAAGUGGUAUCAUUCCUUUGAGUUUUUUCUUACUUUUUAAAAAUUAUUAUAGGUAGUCUAGUUUUUUUUGCCUUUUUAUAUAAAUUUCAAAAUCAGAUUUUCUAGUUCUACCAAAAAAAAAAAAUCCUCAGCCGGGGAUUUAGCUCAGUGGUUCCGUCGCCUGCCUUGCAAGAGUAAGGCCCCAAGUUCGAUCCCCGAUACCAAAUAAAUAAAUAAAUAAAUAGAACUCCUAUAAGCUGAUCUGCUUGUGCAUUGCCAUACAAAAGUGGUCCAGGAAGAUUGGUAUGUGAUCAAAUAUUUCCAAUACAAAAAAAAAAAAUCCUCUUGGGGGCUGUGGAUAUAGCUGAGUGGUAGGGCAUGGCAUGUACAAGGCCUUGAAUUUGAUCUCCAGCACAACACAGGGAAAAAAAUCCUGCUGAGAUUUUUAUUGGAAAUGCAUUAAUUCAAUUCAGGGAAAAAUGACAUUUUUAUUACAUUGAGUCUUCUAAUCUAUGAACAUGAUAUGUCUUUAUUUAGGCCUUCUUUGAUGAUUUGGGGGAGAAUGACCCCAGGGCCUCGUGCAUUUUAAGCACAGACUCUGCAACUGAGCUAAAACCCCAGCCCCUCUUUGAUUUCUUUAGUCAGUGUUUUAUAGCUUUUAGUAUUUAGAGUUUAUAUAUAGUAUUAGGUUUAUACCUCAUAUUUCCUAUUUUUAGGAACUAUUUUUUUUAACCCAGGGCCUUUGCACUGAGUUACAUCCCUAGCCUUUAAAAAAAAUUAUUUUGAAUCAAGAUUUUGCCAAAUUAGUAAAUUGCUCAAGCUGGGCUGGAAUUUGCAGUCCUCCUGCCUCAGCCUCCGAGAAUGCUGUGAUUUCAGUCAUGUGCUACGACACCCAGCAUACUAUAAUUUUUUUUUUAAUCUUGGUUUCCAAUUGUUCAUUUUUGAGUUUAUAGAAAUACAGUUGAUUAUUGUCUUUUGUCUCCUUUGAUCUUAUAAGAGCCACUUAAGUUGUAUAAGGGCCUUUUGGUAGAUUCCUUGGGAAUUUUUUUUUUUUUGGUACUGGGGAUCGAACUCGGGACCUUGCGCUUGUGAGGCAGGCGCCGGAACCACUGAGCUAAAUAUCCAGCCCUCCUUGGGAAUUUUGAUGUUGUUAUUUUUAACGUAGACAAGUAUGUUAUCUGCAAACAGAUAUAACUUAAUUUCUUUUUAACUUUAUUCAUUAUGGAUGUUGAAUAAGUAUAGUAAGUAAAUGCCCUCUCUGUUCCCAGU